rnacentral:tRNA from 1 species
GCGUCGAUGGUCUAGUGGUUAGGAUUGCUGCCUUCCAAGCAGCAGGGCGGGGUUCGAUUCCCCGUCGACGCA